rnacentral:rRNA from 1 species
UACGGAGGGGGCAAGCGUUGUUCGGAAUCAUUGGGCGUAAAGAGUAUGUAGGCGGCUAUUUAAGUCAGACGUGUAAGCCCACGGCUCAACCGUGGAAUUGCGUUUGAAACUAUUUAGCUUGAGUACAGAAGAGGAAGGCGGAAUUCCCAGUGUAGCGGUGAAAUGCAUUGAUAUUGGGAAGAACACCAGUGGCGAAGGCGGCUCACUGGCUCGAUACUGACGCUGAGGUGCGAAAGUGUGGGGAGCAAACAGG